rnacentral:rRNA from 1 species
AGAGAGAGACAUGCGCGCAUAUCAAUAAGCGGAGGAAAAGAAACUAACAAGGAUUCCCCUAGUAACGGCGAGUGAAGCGGGAAGAGUUCAAAUUUGAAAUCUUAAAGGGUUCUACCUUGACGAAUUGUAGUUUAAAGAAGUGUUUUCUGUUGAGGUUUUGGUAAAAGUUCUUUGGAAUAGGACAUCAUAGAGGGUGAGAAUCCCGUAUUUGACCUUUACUUUCAACUUUGUGAUACACUUUCAAAGAGUCGGAUUGUUUGGGAAUGCAGUCCAAAAUGGGUGGUAAAUUUCAUCUAAAGCUAAAUAUUGGCGAGAGACCGAUAGCGAACAAGUACCGUGAGGGAAAGAUGAAAAGAACUUUGAAAAGAGAGUUAAACAGUACGUGAAAUUGUCAAAAGGGAAGCGUUUGACACCAGUGUUGUUUUCUCGAAAAUCAAUUAAAAAAGGCAGGAUUUUGUGUUGUAUUGACUUUAUCAGCUUUCUGCACUCUUUUCUUGUCUUUUUUAAUGCACUUUUCGUUUAACAAGUCAACAUCAAUUUCUUUUGUUGUAAAAGGGUCAUUGGAAGGUGGCUUUCUUUUCGGAGAAAGUGUUUAUAGCCUUUGGCCUCUGCAAUCGGAGAGAUUGAGGUCUGCAGCGUAGAUCCUUCGGGGUUAGAUACAUUUGUGCUAAGUUAUAGCCUUUUCAUAGACAACUUGUUGACUAUGAUCAGUCAUGUAGCUUACUCGCUUAUGCUAUUUUACCUACGCUUAGGAUGUUGAUGUGAUACUGCGAGCA